rnacentral:lncRNA from 1 species
AGGGAUUUUUUAAUUUUAAGCUAUUUGUCUGUUAAGUAUAUAAUACCAAAACGCAGGUUGUUUAAAUUAGGAUUUCCAAGUAAUUUAUGUCGUCUUCAAAAUUCCUGGGGUCUAUCAAUCAGAAACGCCAGAAAGUUUGUGUACUAGUUUCACAUUGUUAAGGGAGUAUCUAUAAUAAAAUUCAAAUGCGUUAUUUUAAAAUAAGUAAAGGACUUAAACAUGAUUUUAGCUAACUAGUUAUUUCUAGUAUACAUGAGUUCAUAGUUCUGGCAAACAAAUACUUAUUUUUGAAAUUUUAGUAUCUGAACUUAGUUACUUCAACUAAACUAAAACUGAAUGAGGUCCCUGCCACCCCUCAACCCCCGUCCCCUGCAGCCGCCCCACAGGAUCCCUAUUUAAAGAACUGUGGUGCUGCAGGAAAGCUAGAACAAAGUAUCAGGUUACAGACAGUACAUACUCAUGUUCCUUACAAGACUUAACUGCAACUGCAUCAAUGUAAAAUUUGGAUAUGCCACUUAAGGGGCAGUAAUAUGAGAAAUAUUUUUUCUUUCAAAAACACAUUUCCCUAAUUAUAAAUAUAUAUUCAUUGUUGGAGAUUUUGGAAAACGCAGAAAAAAGUUUUUAAAAAUCUCCCUAUAAUAUCAUUUUAGGUAAUCCCUGUUAAAUAUUACUGUAUUUACUUCUAAUUCUGUUUUCUAUAAAUCUUCAUGGUUAUUUGCUGUAGUUUUAUAAUUUUUUGUUAACAAAGUUAGAUCAUAGCAUUUAUAUACCCUUUUGAUGCCUGCUUUUGAAAGUAUAACAUAUUUCAGGUAUUUAUGAGACAUUUUCUAUGUAUAUAACUCAUCUUUUAUCUCCUGUAUGGUUUUCUCAUCUUUUCAAAAAUGUUCCCAUUUCUAUUAGAGAGAUAAAUAAGAAAAGUCAGAAGAAUUGCACACAGUCCAAAUAAAAUGUUAGAAAACCUUUAUGAGGAAAAGAAAAUGUACAUAUAUGUUUAGAAUAUAAUAAAGGGUAAUAAUCAUGUGUUAACCUUUAAAGAAAUGAGAACGCCUACUCUAUAUGCCAAGCAAUGAUGAUUCAGCAAUUCUUUCUGAAUGUUCAUCUUUGUGCAUUUUGACAGCUACGAUUUUCUACUCUUCAAAAUUCUCUACUUUAACAACACCAUGACAUUAGAAAUGUAUAACAUUGAUCUAGCCUACCUGUAGGUUACAGAGGUUUGUCAGCUAUUUAUCAAUUUUUUUAGCCUCACCAAGAAAUAAUAUCAAAAGGUACUUUCAAAUCCAAAAAACUUAGUGAAAAAUGCUAAUAUCCAGUCACCUUAAGACUCCCAGUUUUAAAAAGCAUAUUGCCAAACUGAAAUCCAGUGCAAGGAUCAGUAUCACAUAGAGUAAAAACAGAAUAAAAAUCACCUAUUACAAAAUUCAUUUCCAAGGGAGUUCCUUUAAAUAUUCCUUACCAAAGGAACGGUGACUUUACUAUUUAACAACCGGAAAUUGUUCUGGCGGGUAGUGUUUGCAGAAAAAAAAAAUAGACACUUAUUUGAUUCAAUCAUUUUCAGAGAGCUAGGAAUAUUAUCAAAACUUGACACAGUAAAUUAUUUUAGAGAACCUGAAGACCGGGUCUUUCAUAUUUGUGAGAAAUUGUAUUAUAUAUUAACAGACGGAAAGAAAUCUGGCUCCCUAGACACUGAAAAGGGUGAAAAGGGAUUUUCACAUUUCUUUAAAUAUCACACACACAUAAGAAUCGUAAUUGUAAAGUUGAAAAGCAAGAAUUCACCUCAACUUUGACAUUUCAAGUUAAUAAGAAAGCAAAUAUAAUCGUGAUUUACGCGAUUGUUGUAUUACGUGAUUGUUGUAUUAAUACAACAAUCUGGCUAGCUUUUGGUAAAAUGAACAGAUACUUGCACACUUAUAGCUUUGUAAAGCUUUGUAAAUAAUUCAAACAUUUGGCAAUAGUAAAAGCCACUAAAUAUUAUUUUAAUAGCUCUAUAAAUACCACACCUGGAAUUUAUCCUUAGAAAAUAAUUUAAAGACAAUAAUUAUAUGUACAAAUAUACCCAUUGCAAAUAGAUGAAAUAGGGUAAAGCAUCAAGAUGAUCAUCUUUAAAAGUACAUAGCAUUUUGGAGAUAUUUUACCCUUACAUUCACCUUUUCAGACUGAGAUGUCUUCUCUACUACCUAGGAGUUGAAAAUCCAUUAUACAAUACGAUCACUUUACAUUAAAUCUUGGUCAUCCAAGUUUGUAUGAUAUGAAUGCGGCAAUUUGGGGGAGGGGUUGGGAUUGUCAUUCCUGCAAAUAAUUAUGACAAAAACAGGAAGAGUAUGUAAAAGGGAGAGUAGUGGUAGCCUGUAGGGGAAAUGGAACAGAGAAGAGCUGAGAUCAAAGCUUAUUUAAUAAAAGUAAAAUAAAUAAAAGCUUUUUUAAAGGUUAAAAUAAAACCAAAAAAAUACAUAGAAAUAGUCUAUAUGGAAUAUUUAGAUAUCACAUAAAUGCUGCUUAUAUGAUGUUAUAGCUUACAUGUAUGUGUGACGGAAAGUUUGAAGAGAACAAAAACUAGCUUGAGUUAGUAACUGACAUACAUUUUUUCCCUUAAAACUAAAGAAUGCUGCAUUUUUAACAAAGAUAUAAAAAUUAGCACUUGCAUUUUUAAAUUUUUACUUUGCUACUCAAACAUUGGUAAGAUUAUUCCAUGAAAACACAAUUAUCUUCCCUUUAUUAUAAGAAAAGUACAGUCAGGUGAGGUGGCUCAUGCCUGUAAUCCCAGCACUUUGGGAGGCCAAGGCAGUAGGAUCACUUGAGCUCAGGAGUUCAAGACCAGCCUGGGCAACAUAAUGAGACCUUAUCUCUACUAAAAACUAAUUUUUUUAAAAAAUGGAAAUUAAGAUAGCAUUUUAACCACAAAAAACUAAAAGUAUAAUUUGUUAUUCAGUUGAUGUCAUCUUCAUCUUCUACUUUGACUUUAUUCAUAUAUAAUAAAAAACAAGUUUUCUUUUUCCAACUCACAAAUCAUUUCUCAGUUUAUAAUAAAAUAGUACAGAAGAAGAUAAAAUGCCAUGAGUCUCAGAAGAAAUUACAUCAAAAUUCAGAUCAUCACUUAAAUGCUGGAGGACAAAUGACUUCUCAUAUUUUACCAUCGCACCUGUGAAUAACUUUUCCUGGCAAUAUUUAAUUCUUAAAUGGGUCAUAUUUAGUCCUAAAUUUUUUUUUUUUUUCUUUUUUGAGAUGGGGCUUGCUCUGUCACCCAGGCUGCAGUGAAGUGGCACAAUCAUAGCUCACUGCACCCUUGAACUCCUAGGCUCAAGUGAUCCUGCUGCCUCAGCCUCUCGAGUAGCUGGGACUACAGGCCAAUGCAACAUCUGGCUUAUUUUAAUUUCUUAUAGAGACCAGGUCUCACUAUGUUGCCCAGGCUAGUCUCCAACUCCUGAGCUCAAACAAUCCUCCUUCCUUGACCUCCCAAGAUCCUGGGAUUACAGGCAUAAACCAGGGUGCUUGGUACUUGAAAUUUCGAUCCUGGAAUUACAGGCAUAAACCAGGGUGCUUGGACCCUGAAAUUUCUUUUUUUUUUGAGACAGGGUCUCGCUCUGUCGCCCAGGCUGGUCCAGAAUAGAGUGCAGUGGCACAAUCUCGGCUCACUGCAACCUCCGCCUCCCGGGUUUUAAGAAAUCUCUGCUUCAGCCUCCCGAAUAGCUGGGAUUACAGGUGCGUGCCACCACGCCCAGCUAAUUUUUUUGUAUUUUUAGUAGAGACGAGGUUUUGCCACCUUGGCCAGGCUGGUCUUGAACUCUUGACCUCGUGAUUCACCCGCCUUGGCCUCCCAAAGUGCUGGAUUACAGGCAUGAGCCACCACGCCUGGCCAUGAAAUUUCUUAGUCAUUCAUAUUAGAAAAUUAUGACCUCCAUUCCCCAAUAAUUCCUGUCCAAGAAUAAGCAAAUAAACUGAGGCUCUUUUAAACUCUGUUAACAGUGCUUUAGAUAUUUGAAUAUAUAACCUCAGAGUAUGUAAAAGUGAUUAUAUUUGCCGAGGUGACACCCAGGGAAUAUUCAUAAUAUAGUGGUUAAAAGCAUAGAUUUUGGAGCUGGAGUGCCUGGGUUAGAAUCCUGGUAAUACUACUUACAGCUGUAAGACCUUGGACUUAAAUCUCUCUGACCUCAGCUUCCUCAUCUGUCAAACAGAGUUAACUCUGUUAACUGUUAAGCUGGUAACAUUAAUACCAAUUUAGGAUUGUUGUGAGGAUUAAAUGCAAUCAAUGUGUGAUACUUAAAUGUGAUUGGCACGUAGUGAGGAAUACCAAAGUGCUGGCUACUCUUAUCAUGAUGAUGAUCUCAUAUGAACUUGAAAAUUUUUUUUCCAGGAAAAUUACUAUACCAUAUGCAUAACAAAAUGUUCUUAUUUAUAAGCAUACAUGCACACACACUCACACAUACACACACAGCUGUCCAAUUGGUAUUUCUAAAUAUUCCAGUUAAUAUUUGCUACUCAUUCAUGUUGAUUUUGUUAAAAUUUAAAAUCAUUAAAACUUCCCAUAGGUAGCAUUCAUUGUAUUUCAGUUCCAAUAUUUAUAUUCUUAAAGUAUAUAUAUUUGAUUUUGGAAUCAGAAGAUCUGUCCAGCCUUAAUAUCUGUUGAUGCCUCACAUAUCUCAGUCGUACCAAAUUACUUGAAAAUUAUCUAGGGGAAACCAUUAUUUAUCAAUUCCUCUUAGAGGGCUAGUACAAAAGAAUAAAGACUUAAAAAUCUGAAUACUUGGUUUCUAAUCUCAGUUCUCCCACUUAACAGGUGAGUAACUUAGAUGAAUCAUUUAAAUUAUCUGAAUACCUAACUCACAAAGAUUAUUGUGAGAGUCAGAUGAGAUAGUACAUGUGUCAGCACUACAAUUUAUAUGACAUCUACAUAUACAUUAUUUUCAGUAUUUUAAGCUAUAUAAACUAUUUUGCUACCACUUGGAUGUUUAUUGACAAAUAGUCUCCUUUGACUCAGGAAGUUUUACUUGGCAUAAAGCAUUAAAGUAACUACCAGAUUCACCCCCAAAGGAGUCUGGCAUCCCCCAAGAUCUUGCCUCUUGCCAAGUUCCCUUUUCAGACCUUUAUCUCUGAAUUUUACUAUCUUCUCAGUGUUAAAAAAAAAAAAAACCUGUUCUAUGCCUUCCCCAUAAUAACAUUUAUAUAAUACUUUACAGUUUAUAAAAUACUUCCAUAUGCUUUCUCACAUACAUCUGAUACUCAAGUGAUAAGAUUUCAAAGAGCUUUUCUAUAGCUACAGUCUAAUAAUGAGCUAAGAUAUUCUUGACAAUUCUUAAACAUACACUGUUCCAAUAUUUACAUAAAACUAGAGGGUACUAGGCUGUGUCUAUCCUAAUGUUUCACCUGUUUUUAAGAUAAUAUCUAAAUAGUUAUAUAAAAUCAAAUUAUUGGCCAUUUAAUAACGGACUAUAUCUUACCUCUACAUACUAUAAUUUCCUAAAAAACCAGUAAGCACUAAGAGGUAUCAUUACCAUAGAUUGCUAUAGAGCAAAUGCUUGAUGUAAGUUUGCAACUCAGACCCUCAAUUCUCAUUCCUGUGAAAAGGUUCCAGAGCAUAAUACUUACAGUACCUUUUAAUUUUGUGAUGGCUACAAAUGCAAC